UACGUAGGGUGCGAGCGUUAAUCGGAAUUACUGGGCGUAAAGCGUGCGUAGGCGGUUCGUUAAGUUCGUUGUGAAAGCCCCGGGCUCAACCUGGGAACUGCAAUGGAAACUGGCGGGCUUGAGUGUGGCAGAGGGGGGUGGAAUUCCGCGUGUAGCAGUGAAAUGCGUAGAGAUGCGGAGGAACACCGAUGGCGAAGGCAGCCCCCUGGGCCAACACUGACGCUCAGGCACGAAAGCGUGGGGGAGCAAACAGG
rnacentral:rRNA from 1 species